UGACUUCUGACCGGUGUUUCCGUUGCUGGAAGUUCGUAUCCAAAGCUAGCAUAUGAUGAUUUCUCGGAUCAAUCGAAUCUCCUCGAGCGCUGAGUUGUCCUCUACUAGAUCUCCUUGAUUUUCUUUUGAGCACAUAAACAUGGUCGUGUUUUCUUAGAGCGCUACCGCAUGCCGGAUCUUAACAUGAGACCCUUACGAGGUCAACAAAUGGUAGAUCCAAGGAAAUGAAAACAAGUAUGAUACACCGGCCGAUACAACACCAGCAUAGCGACGCAGCAACAGAUAAAACAAAGCAAAGCAAAGCAAAUACAAAAAUGCAAGACUCCAUGCCUAGACAUGACUUCACGCCGGUGACUCCCCCUAGUAUGUGUUAUCCUGCCAUGAAGCCCCUCUUAGAGCAGCACACCUCGCCUCGAUCUGGAUGAUUAGGCGAUCCAUCUGCUGCCAGUCCUUAGGCCUCGCCAGCAGCCGCCAAAAGCUGCAAAAGUACCAUGAUUGUGUAUAUGAUAUUAUCAAGAUGUUUAAACAACCCAGGCUUAAGAAAUUACACGCAUAACCUUCUCCCUUUCGUGACAAGGAUAAAAAAGGCAUAACAAUAGACCAAGUCAGGUCCUUCUCACAAAGACAAAUGUGGUUGCAUUGUUAAGCUCGUUUCGGUAACACUAUGACUCGAUCAACAGAUGAAGGAAUUAUGUCAUCAAGUUUAUUUUAGUUAAAGCAAUUCCUCUGUAUUACUUACUAGCAUAUGAUCUCAGUCAUAGUUAUAUCCAACUUACAUUUUCAACAAAUAUUUUAACCAUGUAUCUCUACUAUUUCCAUAAGUAAAAUAACAAGUAUUUCACCUUGAUUCAUGACUACUUCAAAUAUGUGAUCUACUGGUCAUGUGAAAUUUGCACAUUAACAUAGAAGUAGCCGAUUCAAUUAUUUCUACAAAAAAUAGCCAUGAUAUAAUCAUUUUUGAGAUAAUUCAAAUUAAUUUAAAAUUCAUUACUAAACAAUAGCCUGUAAUUCCAUCAUGCAAAGUGUGGCGGCUUUCCUUGAUCAACUCGGUGUCAUAGUACUCCUGAUUUUCACCACUAAAGUUAUGUUCCUCUGCAAAUAUGUCUAAAUGAACCAAAAAAUAAAUAGCACAUAAAUAAUUUAAUUUUCCCAGAAAUUCUAGAAUAAAUAUAAAAUUAUAAAACUUUGCCAAGAUACAAAGGAGCUCAGAAGAAAACAAGUGCAAAAACUUUCAUCUCAUUUGGACUUAUAGAUUGAGAGCAAUGUAUUGUCAAAGUUGCUGGUCAAACUGGAUUUAAAUGAAUUUUAAAGAAAAUCGGACAGAGGGCACAUCGAAAACAUAAACUGGAAACCGUGUCCACGUACGUACCAAUUCGGCAGGCGUGCAGUCUAUGACACUGGGCCCACCCAUGAUGUUGGAGUGAGAGAGUGGGAAACAGUGGGCUCAUUGGCAGACGUUCGCCUGGGUAGCAGGCACGAUGGUGUCUCUACAUAGGUUGGGUGAAACGCAUGUACCCGGAUCACGACGAUAGGUGGCUAGAUUACGAGGCAUGCUUCUUCUCUAGAGAUGGUGGGCGGCGGUGGUCAUCAAGAAAUUGAGCACCACAGUGUGGCCAGGAGAGAGAGAGGGGGAUCUCAGAAAGAGCAAGAGGUCGUGAUAGGGAGGACUAGAAGCGGGUGGCGGUGGAGAGGCCCGUGCGGCGGAGCUUCGAUGGGAUUUGAGGAUAGAGGCACUCCUGGCAUUGGCUCUGGGUUCUCAAACUCGAUUGGGGGUCGUUGAGUGGUGGUGUGGUGCUAGAACGAGAAGGGCAAACUCGAGCUUCUUUUCCAAUACGCAAACCUUUUUCAACAUUUCGAUGACAUUUGGCACUCAUUUGUAUUCCCCAAAAAAAUCAACAAAAGCAUGCGAUCAACGGAAAGUUGAAUCGCCCAACACGUCCAGCAUGCCACACACCAGCAAUCAAGUAUGCAUGCAUGCUCAUACGUGCAUACAUGAUGUUGAAUUUAGAAAAGAAUUAAUCACCCACAAUGUGUCUCCUCGUCUAUCUCUGAUUAAACGCAUGAAAUCAAGAAGAGAGAGAUGUGGUGGAUGACCAAUGGUGAGAGAAGUCAGACGAAGAGGAAGAUAACGUCGUUGGAGAGGCAAAAAAAAAUGGAAGCGAGGGGAUGAGGCCACUCGCCAAGCAGGAGGCAUACAUUACACA
rnacentral:lncRNA from 1 species